rnacentral:snRNA from 1 species
GGAUUUGAAGGAAAUCUGGCUGUGACAUCUGUCACCUAAUUGAUUGCCAGGGUUGAUUCAACUGAUGUGGAUGGCUAGGAGGGCGUGUCCUCUUCCUCCUUCCCAAAGCUGUGUGCUCCAUCAGUUGAAGAAGAUAAACGUCCCCUAUAGAAGAGGGCAUGCCUUUGGUAAAGGGUAUAUUAGAGUAGUAUCUGCACACCUUGCUAGAAAUUUCAAGCAAGCUCUCAGAGUGUGCGGCUUAUGUAACCCUCAUGAUAACCACAAAGCAAUGUAUAUAGUAUGCAAACAAAUGUCAAAGAGCAAGGAACCAAAACACACUAC